rnacentral:rRNA from 1 species
CCGUGAGGUGUUGGGUUAAGUCCCGCAACGAGCGCAACCCCUAUCAUUAGUUGCCAUCAGGUAAAGCUGGGAACUCUAAUGAAACUGCCGCCGUAAGGCGUGAGGAAGGAGGGGAUGAUGUCAAGUCAUCAUGGCCUUUAUGCCCAGGGCUACACACGUGCUACAAUGGUAACUACAAAGGGCUGCCACUUAGUGAUAAGGAGCUAAUCCCAAAAAAGUUAUCUCAGUUCAGAUUGCAGGCUGCAACUCGCCUGCAUGAAGCUGGAAUCGCUAGUAAUCGUAGAUCAGCAACGCUACGGUGAAUACGUUCCCGGACCUUGCACACACCGCCCGUCAAGCCAUGGGAGCCGGGUGUACCUAAAGUCGGUAACCGCAAGGAGCUGCCUAGGGUAAAAUCGGUGACUGGGGCUAAGUCGUAACAAGGUAAAUA